UACGGAGGGUGCAAACGUUGCUCGGAAUCAUUGGGCGUAAAGCGCACGUAGGUGGCUUGUUAAGUCGGGUGUGAAAUCCCUGGGCUCAACCCAGGAAGUGCACUCGAAACUGGCGAGCUUGAGUACUGAAGAGGGUCGCGGAAUUCCCGGUGUAGAGGUGAAAUUCGUAGAUAUCGGGAGGAACACCGGUGGCGAAGGCGGCCCCCCUGGACCGGUACUGACGCUGAGGCGCGAAGCGUG
rnacentral:rRNA from 1 species